rnacentral:rRNA from 1 species
GGGCUUAGGAUGCUGUAGCUGACCUGCGGCAGGAUCAUUA